rnacentral:rRNA from 1 species
CGGCCGCGGUAUUUUGACCGUGCGAAGGUAGCGUAAUCACUUGUCUUUUAAAUGAAGACCUGUAUGAAUGGCAUAACGAGGGCUAAACUGUCUCCUUUUUCCAGUCAAUGAAAUUAAUCUUCCCGUGCAGAAGCGAGAAUAUAAACAUAAGACGAGAAGACCCUAUGGAGCUUAAGACACAAGACAGCCCAUGUAAAGCACCUGGUUAAACAGAAUUAACUAAAUGGUUCCCUGUCCUCUUGUCUUUGGUUGGGGCGACCGCGGGGAAAUAAGUAUCCCCCAUGUGGAAUGGGCCCUCCCCCCAAAGCCAGAGCAACAGCUCUAGCUAACAGAACAUCUGACCUACAAGAUCCGGCACAAGCCGAUCAACGGACCGAGUUACCCUAGGGAUAACAGCGCAAUCCCCUUUUAGAGCUCAUAUCGACAAGGGGGUUUACGACCUCGAUGUUGGAUCAGGACAUCCUAAUGGUGUAGCCGCUAUUA